ACCUCUCUUGGAUUUGCUUUUCUGAUAAUGAAGUGAACCCUGGACUUUUCAUGGGCCUGGAUUGUCCUGUCAUUGAGCCCAGAAAUCUCCCAGGAGGGAGGGUCUGGAGAUGCUGAUAUCAAACUGCAGAUCUCUGGGAACAGUGCAAAUGUUGAUUGGGAAAAGUCUGUGGAAACUUCAUUGGAAAGAAGGCAUGAUUGUGAAGUAAUUUGUAUAAAGAUAUCCUAAAGUCAAUUGAUUGAACUGAAACAUCAGGAGGAAAGAAUUCUUCUCCACAUUAAAAAAAAUUAAAUAAUCAUUAUAAUUCAGAUUUUUAUAUCUUCUAAUGGUAAAACAUUUUGGUUAUUUCAGAUACCGGCCUUUUCAGCUCAUUGCUUCUCCACAGGGCCAGAAGAUUAUCAUGACCUCUAUGAUGGAUCUUUGGAUGGAUGAAACUUCUUACAGGUUCAGCCAGCACCUGUGCAGACCCUGUGUCUCUACACGAAAUUGCAUUUUCCUGUGAAAUGCUGCACAAUCCCAAUGGCGCUGCAAGAGUCCCCAGAGUGAAUCAUGAGCAUGAAGGAAGGGACCCUGAGGACAUACCAACACACUGGGCAUUAGCCCAGCUUCCAAGUGCACCUCUCUGUUAGGUUGUGCCAAGCCAGAAGGAGGGACUUGGAGAGGGAGGAUUAACCUUUCACUGGCCACAAUUCCUUCCCUCUUAUCGCGGAGGCUUCGGCAAUGC